rnacentral:misc_RNA from 1 species
GAUGAAGAACGCAGUGAAAUGCGAUAAGUAAUGUGAAUUGCAGAAUUCAGUGAAUCAUCGAGUCUUUGAACGCACAUUGCGCCCCCUGGUAUUCCGGGGGGCAUGCCUGUCCGAGCGUCAUUGCUGCCCUCAAGCACGGCUUGUGUGUUGGGCCCCCGUCCCCGGUUUCCCCCGGGGACGGGCCCGAAAGGCAGCGGCGGCACCGCGUCCGGUCCUCGAGCGUAUGGGGCUUUGUCACCCGCUCUGUAGGCCCGGCCGGCGCCAGCCGACACCCAACUUUAUUUCUAAGGUUGACCUCGGAUCAGGUAGGGAUACCCGCUGAACUUAAGCAUAUCAAUAACGGAGGA